rnacentral:rRNA from 1 species
UACAGAGGUGGCAAGCGUUGUUCGGAAUUACUGGGCGUAAAGGGCGAGUAGGCGGCCUUCUAAGUCAGACGUGAAAUCCCCCGGCUUAACCUGGGAACUGCGUCUGAUACUGGGAGGCUUGAGUAUGGGAGAGGGAUGUAGAAUUCCAGGUGUAGCGGUGAAAUGCGUAGAUAUCUGGAGGAAUACCGGUGGCGAAGGCGGCAUCCUGGUCUGCGACUGACGCUGUGGCGCGAAAGCUAGGGGAGCGAACGGG